rnacentral:rRNA from 1 species
UACGUAGGGGCCAAGCGUUGUCCGGAUUUACUGGGCGUAAAGCGCGCGUAGGCGGUCCUUUAAGUCUGGGGUGAAAGGUUCAGCGCUCAACGUGAACAGUGCCUUGGAGACUGGGGGGACUUGAGUGUGGGAGGGGGGCAGUGGAAUUCCUGGUGUAGCGGUGAAAUGCGUAGAUAUCGAGAGGAACACCUGCGGCGAAGGCGGGUUGCUGGGCCGACACUGACGCUGAUGCGCGAAAGCCAGGGGAGCGAACGGG